GCAGAGUUGAGUUCGAAACUCUUCUACGAACCGAUAAUUUUUUAUUUUUUAAAUUAUUACAGCAUUUUUAUCAACUACUCGGGAUUUCUACAAUCUCUAGAGCUAAAGUUGUUUCUUAGUCUGAUAGCAUUAAACUUGUAUUGUACACGACGAACGGUCGACGUUUGGAAACAAGUUGUUACUGGGUUGAAUAAUUAUGCAAUUUUGAAGGAAGUGGUCGUUUGGUUGCAGCAGUGACAGUGACACAGAUUCUAGUACAAACAACUUUUGUUGGUAUGGCAAGAGCUGAGAGCCGGAUUUCCAGUGGGGGUGGAGUAAACCAAAACAAUUCUUAGAGUCUUACAUUUCUUUCUUACUGAGGUACAAAUACUCUUGUAGUCAUUUCUACAUCACGCAAAACUACUGGACUUAAAACAGAAACCUUCAAAAAUCUGUGUUUGAACAGCAACUAUCCUUGCAUUAUAAACGUUGCAAUGCGUAUCAAUAUGGCAUCAACAUUAGUUCCAUUACUCAAAUCAAAAGUGGACGAGCUAUUUUUAAAAUGGUUAUCAACAGAUGAAACCCAGAGAUGUCUUCAAGAAGAUUUAAGUCGUAUAUUACAUGGUGUAUCCCCUGCUGUUUUUGAAACUCCUGUCAUUUCAACUGUUGUAAGUGCUAGACCAGCUUCUCCGCCAGCACCGCCAAGUGCAACAUUAACUGCACGAUCACCAAGAAGUCCUAAACCAGUGCGAAAGUUGAACAAAUGUCAUAAUAAACCAAAUGAUUCUCCAUUAGCAAGUUUGGAUGUUAAUGAUGGAUCUACUGCAGCCAUCCCUCACUUCUAUUUUCCAAAAGGCACUCCAUCUCUCAGUGCUAAACAAAUGGAUGAAAAGGCUGCACAGCUAGUUGAAAAUAUUUUUAAAAUUAAUCAAAGGAUACCUAUGAAAGAGUUUUCCUCUGUUACUAAGGCAUGUAAAUUUCCUCUAUAUUGGCGAAGUAUCCUGUUUAAUUGCUGUGGUGGACAGAAGACAGGUUAUGUUACCCAUCAAAACUUCUCAGCAGUUUGGAAAAGGUUAACUCAAUCGUGUCACGAUGAAGCAUCAAGGUUUAUGUAUCUUAUGACAUGCAAUAGAAGAGAUUAUCUUAUUUCAGAAGAUUUUAUUCCGCUUGUACAGGAUGUUGUAGAUAACCAUGGCGGCUUAGCAUUUCUAGCGGAUGCGCCAGAAUUUCAUUCUCGCUAUAUCAAGACGGUUAUAGCAAGAAUAUUUUUUUCCGUCAAUAGCUCUUGGUCUGGGAAAAUUACUCUAUCUGAAUUGCGAAAUAGUAACUUUUUGAAGAUAUUAUCAUAUUUAGAGGAUGAAGAGGAUAUUAAUUUGAUUGUAGACUAUUUUUCGUAUGAACAUUUCUACGUGAUCUACUGUAAAUUCUGGGAAUUAGAUUCUGAUCAUGAUUUGUUGAUCGAUGAAAAAGAACUUUUAAAACAUGGAAACCAUGCAAUAUCUUCCAAAGUUGUUAACCGCAUAUUUUCCGGGUGUGUCACAAAAUGCCCUUCAAAUAAUGGCAAAAUGACGUACGAAGAAUUUGUUUGGUUUCUAAUGGCUGAAGAAGAUAAACAUCAACCAAGAAGCAUUGAAUAUUGGUUUCGGUGUAUGGAUCUCGAUGGUGAUGGAAUCAUAUCUCUAUAUGAACUGGAGUAUUUUUAUGAAGAUCAAGUAGCGAAGAUGGAGGCCCUGGGAAUUGAAGCAAUGUCUUUUGAAGACUGCAUAUGCUCAGUUCUUGAUUUAGUUAAGCCUAAAGAAGAAGGAAAAGUUAGUUUGGGAGAUCUCAAGCGCUGUGGACUUGCUCAUAUCUUUUUUAAUACAUUUUUGAAUCUGGAUAAAUACGUUGAAUAUGAACAAAGAGAUCCAUUCGCUUCUUUAAAGUCUGAUCCAGAGGAACGUGUGCCAUCGGAUUGGGAAAAGUUUUGUCUGGAGGAAUACGGAUUAUUAAUAGCAGAGGAGGGCGCAAGUGAUGACGGAAAAUAUGAUGAUUUAUUGGAUUUGGACGAUGAUGACGUACAUGCAUCUAGUACGGAUGAUAUUUACGAAGGUCUUCGAAACUGGCAAUACAGAUGAUUCAUGAUUCAUAUAUGAAAAUUACCCGUAUUUUCUUGUACAGUAAAAAAAUGUACAUAUUAGAUCUUAGAUUAAUGCAAUUAACAUAUUUAGCGUGUGGAUUAUAACGAUCGGGAGGCUCCUUGAGGAAUUUCGCUCCAAAAAUCAAAAUAUUGUAGUCAUUAUAUAGAAUAGUUUCUAAAUGUCUGUGAAAUUAUACUUUUGUACUUUCAUCUAUCUCCCAAUAGACUGCAAAAACAAGAGUUAUAAACCACACUAAACACUUUAUUUCAUAGUAGCCUAUGAUAGUAUCACUUCGUUGAUAUUUGGUGACUUUUUGUGAAAGAGUGUGUAUAUAUAGUAGUAUUUAGUAUAUAUAUGUAUAAAAGUAAUAAACGUCCAAACGUGGAUAUGUACAUAAAGAAGGCG
rnacentral:misc_RNA from 1 species